CGUCCGCCCGCCCAGCUCCUCCGCUCGCCGACCCCGCCCGCCUCGCGCCCGCCCCUCAGCUCCUGGCCCUCGCCCCACCAGCUCCUUUAGCGCCCCGCUACCCGGGGGUCCCCAACUUCUCUCCUCCUGUAGCCCGUGUGUCCCGAGAUGCCCCGUGAUCCAGCGCCCCCCCCCGUCGCCACACCCUCACAGUCACCCCCACCCUCUGCUACCCUCAUCCAGAUCCCUCCCCUCCAGCCCUGUGCCUUGCCUGCUCCCCAACAGUUUCUGUUAGUCCCCCCUCCUAUCCCCAUCUUGCACGCCCCUCCAUCCUCCCACCCACGGAGGUACUGUCUGUAGAUUUCUUCUCUGUGUCUCACACACAUUUUAUUUGAAAGCAUUGAAUAAGUAGCUCAGGCUCUGGCUCAGACUUAAGGGGCUGAUGAACUACGCCCCCACCGCAGCCAGCUUUCUCUGCGCCCCAGUCCAGCCAGCUCCAGACGUCGACGUCGGGCUGAGAUUCUGCUAUCACGUAGGCAGUGAGAUUGGGGGAGACGCGAUGCUUCCCUUGAAACCAUCAAGACAGAUGUGCGCGGGUUUUUAGGGUGUACCCCCAAGGCAAGCAUAUCUGGGGCGUCUCCAGGCAGAUGCUAACCCUCGGGGUCAACCAGGAGGCUGCAGCUUUGCGAGACACCACCGCCCAGAAUCCAGGUCCGGGUGGAGGGGUGGUCGGCACCGCGCCCUAGGGGGAAUGUUCUCCCGACUUCGGAGAGGAAGAAAGGAAGAAAUGCACCCUAGGAAAAUGGGCUUCGACUUUUGUGUCUGUGCUUUCAUGGAAGUCACCAGUUCUCUGGUUGCUUAAGAUGCCACUCAGAAGCGCACCGAGCCAGACUGUGGCUAGCCUUGCUAAAUCCUUGGUCGGCGACCACUUAGGGUAGUCCCGGGAUAAACAAUAGCCAUCAAGGUUAGGAGAUAUAUUCGCCAUGCUUACCUGUUGACAAAAAGAAAAAAUGCAAAAUAAAAUUUAAAAUUUGGAAAAUAAUACAUGGUAACAUCUUUUAGAACCAAGGCUUUUCAGACAAAAGCCAAUUUUACCAGCCCGAAAGCCACGGAGCCCUGGAACUACCGUUCGCGACACUUUGGCGCCCUCUGGCUGUGUCAGGAUUGUUUGCUUGUUCUGCUUCGUCCCAAACGAAGAGGGGCAAUGGAAAUGCUUGCUGUUCUCUUGGCUGGAUCUACCCUCAUGAGAGGAGCACGAACUGAGAAGGACCUUGUUCUCCACGGUCGCGAUGGCAAAACAUAAUCAUAUUUAGAGAGACAAACGCCAAAGGGUCUCACUCAUAAAGAUCCAUGCCUCUCCAUCUGCCUCUCUAUCACGGGGCUGGGAUUAAAGCUUUCUCCUGCAAUAGAUGGGAAGCCAUGCAGAGACUCAGAGGCGGACAGUGGGCAGAGAAUGAAGCCUUGGAACACUCAGUCCUAAAUGGGAUGUCUUCAUCAGAUCCACCCCUCCCGACUCAGAGAAGUAAUAACACUGAGAUAAUGGUUCUUUCUGAGACAAUGCAACAUGCAGAGCCUGACGCUAACAGCUUUGGGGACUACACCAACUCUACUGAACGUCUGCUUUUUUGACUUUGGUUGCACCUGUUUUUACUUUCCUCUUCUUGUACUUUGCUUUUGAGGCAAAGCUAUCUUCUACGUGUCCCAGGCUGUCCUGGAACUCAGCCCAUCCCCACCACAGCCUCCCAAGCUCUGGGAUCGUACACGUGUGUCCACACACCAGUUUCUUCCCUGCAGUUUAAUUAGACAGCAUUUUAAGUAUUUCAAUAUUUUGUCUUCAUAAAAAUUGAGAACUGAAUGACAUUCUUAAACUUGUUUACUUUUGCCACCAAGAAAUCAAGAGGCUCAUAAUAAUAACAGCUAUCUGAGAGAAAUGUUAUUCAAAAUACUGGCUGCCUGUGUUGGUCAUUUUGCUAUCAUUUUAACAAAUAUCUGACAUAUUGAACUUAUAGGGAGGCAGGUUGUACUCCCACGGUUUUGAAGGUGUCAGUCCAGGAUCAGCUGUCCCAGAUGGGUUGGGGUGUGGGACAGAACAGAACCAUUUGCACCUCAUAACUAGGAAGCAAAGGAAAUAGAGGAAAAUCCCGGGGUACCACAAUACUCCUUGAAGGGCAUAAAUUCAGUGACCUUCCAGAGGUCAACCUCUUAAACAUGCCACUACUUCUCAUUAGUGUCAGAGGCAGGUAGCCACACCUUAACACACAGGCCUUUGGCACUGCCCAUCUCUGGUGGAGAUCUGAAUUCCCCGCCCACUGAUAACAGACUUUAGGUUGACACUGAUACCUGUAUGACUUGAGAUGUUCCUCCACGUGAUAAAACCUGCCUGCACCACUGAGGUCGGGAGUGACCGUGUGUCUUAUUCUCAUCAUUGAAUCUAGGAGAGACAUUAAACAUAUCACCGCUGAGUACAAGUUCAAGAACAAGCUGAUGGUGGCUCAUCCCCUCUCUUCCUUUCACCUCAAGACCUACCAGCAUCAACUCAGAUGGGCUCCACCUCAGAUACCCAGGUACACAGUUCAGUGAUGGACAUAUAUGGGCAAGAAAUAAAUGUGAAUUGCUGAACCCUGGGGCAAGUCUUUACUGAAGCAUAACUUCCUGUAAAUUGACUAAUAAUGCGUCUUUUAAGGUGAAUGUGAAGACAAGUGGGUCAACAUUUGUAAAAUAUUUAUUCCCAUACAUGAUAUAUUUUAAAUUUUAAAAAAAGUUUUUAUAUAUUUUGACCAUGUUUUCCUCUCUCUCAGAACCUUCCAGAUCCCUACAUACCUAACUUCCUGCUAGUUCUUUCUCUUUCA